rnacentral:rRNA from 1 species
AUUGAACGCUGGCGGAAUGCUUUACACAUGCAAGUCGAACGGCAGCACGGGGCAACCUGGUGGCGAGUGGCGAACGGGUGAGUAAUACAUCGGAACGUGCCCAGUCGUGGGGGAUAACGUAGCGAAAGCUACGCUAAUACCGCAUACGAUCUACGGAUGAAAGCGGGGGAUCGCAAGACCUCGUGCGAUUGGAGCGGCCGAUGGCAGAUUAGGUAGUUGGUGGGGUAAAGGCCCACCAAGCCGACGAUCUGUAGCUGGUCUGAGAGGACGACCAGCCACACUGGGACUGAGACACGGCCCAGACUCCUACGGGAGGCAGCAGUGGGGAAUUUUGGACAAUGGGCGAAAGCCUGAUCCAGCCAUUCCGCGUGCAGGAUGAAGGCCCUCGGGUUGUAAACUGCUUUUGUACGGAACGAAAAGGUGCUCUCUAAUACAGGGCGCUCAUGACGGUACCGUAAGAAUAAGCACCGGCUAACUACGUGCCAGCAGCCGCCGCUG